ensembl:lncRNA
GCUAACUGAGCGGAGAGUGGCUGCGGGGCAGCUAACUGAGCGGAGAGUGGCUGCGGGGCAGCUAACUGGGCUUGAGGCCACUGAGCGGGCGAAUCGCUGUUCAUUUUAGUAUCAGACACACCAAACACAGCCCCAGAAUAAAUAGUCCCACAGUCCAAAAAAAAAGAGUCCUCACUCACCACAGCCGGCGAUUUAAAAGUCCGAACGUCCGGCUGUGGGGUGGCGCGCCGGCGGCGCGAUCGUCGUUUUUUUCCCGCUGACGGCUCCGACGGACCGGGCAAAACCACAUCCGGCGGGUUGGGCAGCGAGGUAGUAGUGGCAGAGAGAAGGUGUGGUGUGAGGUGGAGAAAAGCCUGCAUGGUCGGGGGAAGCGACUCCAAUAGCCAGGGCAGGCCGGAAAAGAGCCGUUGUAGCCGGCUUUCCACUGCGCGGCGAAGCUCCUCCGGGGGGUGUUCUAACCACAGCCCGAGGAGAAUCUCCACAUUGUAGACAAUGUCGUCCCGGAGCUCCUCGGACGGGUUGACUGCUGCUGGGUCCAUGGUGGCUGGUUCGUUCUGUCACGUCCGGUGUGGCAGACGUGUGGAGAAAUAGGGAGGACCCAAGAUGCGGCAGCUCUGGUGCAGGUGAGUUUAUUUAACAGAAGGAAAUACAAACAGCAGUGGCGAGGGUGAACUAGAAACUAAGAAAACCUAAACUGGAAAAACUAACAGAAACUAACCGUAAACAGAUAUGCAGGGAGGCACAGGGAAAUCCAUAGGAAGCCGGAGAGACGUAGGGAGACCGAGGGAAACAACACAGACGAACCAGCAACGAGGACAAGGGAGUGUGGGGAGCCAUAGCCCCGUCCCCCAGGGCAUGAAGCAGGUAUGGAGGAGAUCCAGGCCCCAGACAUCCAGAGGCCCCAGAAUACGAAGACCCAAGGAGGACCACCAGGGGGGCAACCGUGCCACCCUCCUGGGAAGAGCUGAGGAGAGACCCAAACGAGAGGUCACCCAGCAGCCACGG